rnacentral:rRNA from 1 species
GAAAGCGGGGCAACCCGCAAGUAGAGUGGCGAACGGGUGAGUAAUACAUCGGAACGUACCCAGUAGCGGGGGAUAACCUCUCGAAAGAGAGGCUAAUACCGCAUACGACCUACGGGUGAAAGCGGGGGACCGCAAGGCCUCGCACUAUUGGAGCGGCCGAUGUCGGAUUAGCUAGUUGGCGGGGUAACGGCCCACCAAGGCGACGAUCCGUAGCUGGUCUGAGAGGACGACCAGCCACACUGGAACUGAGACACGGUCCAGACUCCUACGGGAGGCAGCAGUGGGGAAUUUUGGACAAUGGGCGCAAGCCUGAUCCAGCCAUGCCGCGUGAGUGAAGAAGGCCUUCGGGUUGUAAAGCUCUUUCGGCGGGGAAGAAACGGUCCGUGACAACACCACGGACCACUGACGGUACCCGCAGAAGAAGCACCGGCUAACUACGUGCCAGCAGCCGCGGUAAUACGUAGGGUGCAGGCGUUAAUCGGAAUUACUGGGCGUAAAGCGUGCGCAGGCGGUCUGCUAAGAGAGGUGUGAAAUCCCCGGGCUUAACCUGGGAACUGCGCUUCUAACUGGCAGGCUGGAGUGUGGCAGAGGGGGGUGGAAUUCCACGUGUAGCAGUGAAAUGCGUAGAGAUGUGGAGGAACACCGAUGGCGAAGGCAGCCCCCUGGGCUAACACUGACGCUCAUGCACGAAAGCGUGGGGAGCAAACAGG